rnacentral:rRNA from 1 species
AUGAACGCUGGCGGCGUGCCUAAUCCAUGCAAGUCGAGCGAACAGAUGAGGAGCUUGCUCCUCUGACGUUAGCGGCGGACGGGUGAGUAACACGUGGAUAACCUACCUAUAAGACUGGGAUAACUUCGGGAAACCGGAGCUAAUACCGGAUAAUAUAUUGAACCGCAUGGUUCAAUAGUGAAAGACGGUUUUGCUGUCACUUAUAGAUGGAUCCGCGCCGCAUUAGCUAGUUGGUAAGGUAACGGCUUACCAAGGCAACGAUGCGUAGCCGACCUGAGAGGGUGAUCGGCCACACUGGAACUGAGACACGGUCCAGACUCCUACGGGAGGCAGCAGUAGGGAAUCUUCCGCAAUGGGCGAAAGCCUGACGGAGCAACGCCGCGUGAGUGAUGAAGGUCUUCGGACCGUAAAACUCUGUUAUUAGGGAAGAACAAAUGUGUAAGUAACUAUGCACGUCUUGACGGUACCUAAUCAGAAAGCCACGGCUAACUACGUG